UUGCUCACUUUGGCAGAUGCGCUGAGACAGAAACAGUACAGGGAAGAAUAACGUAGUCCCUGUGCAAGGGUGACACACAGAUUCGUGGGGUGGUCUGUAUUUUA